rnacentral:pre_miRNA from 1 species
GGAAUAUAAGAAUCCGUCUCUUAACUUUUAACUAAAAAAGGUAAGAACCGGUUCUUAAAUAAGAGUUUUAAGAGUCGGUUCUUAACAUUUUUAGUUAAAAGUUAAGAGACGGGUUAUUAUAUUCC